rnacentral:lncRNA from 1 species
AGCAGCUCCCCGGGCGGCGGAGCUGAGCGCCUUCGCGAGUUGGGGCAGCUCCUGUGCUCGGCCCUGCUCGGCGGCUGGAGCUCCGCCCGGACGCGGGGUUCCUGGAGCUGCGAGAGCGGCUGGGCGUCGAGGGGGCGGUCGGAGCUCCGCAGACCCCGCUGGCCUGGGGCGGGAGAGGCUGGCGUGAGGGGAACGCCCGGGAGCGCGGAGAGCGGGGCCAGUCCCCUGGCGCGCCGAAGACACCCGAGCGCCCCGCGCCCUGGCACCAUGCGACCCGCCGCGCCUCCUGGCCGGCUCCCGGCUUCGCUGUUUGCUCUCUGAGCCCCCGCGCUCGCCACCGCGGAAAGUCGGAAAGACCAGGCGAGACCUUGGAGAACCUCACGGAGACGGACCCAGACGUCCCCUCCGCCCCCAAGAGGCUGCCGCCCCUCGAUCCCUGGGCUCCUCUAGCUGUACCAUGAACCUGGCGUAAGCUUGGCGUUAGGAGAAAUUCAGAAGCCGGAGGGGGAGUCAAGGCAAUUCUUUGGUUGCUAAGGACAAGUGAAGACAUCCAGCAUGGCUCAGGGAUCCGGGGAUCAGAGAGCAGUGGGGAUCGCUGACCCAGAGGACAGUUCUCCAAAUAUGAUAGUCUACCGCAAAGUAAGGCAUCUGCUUAAAUGCGGGGGGCGCUGCCUUGUGUGUAUUUGGGCUCUGUGUAGGGUUGACUGAUGGUUGACUGCUGGAGUCAUGUUUAUUGCCUGAACUCCCUUGACUGAUACAUGAAUAUCAUUUUCUUCUCAUAUCCUCCAAUUUCCCUAUUAAACACUUCCUGGAAGUUAACUUUUGCCCUGCUUUGCAUUGAACACUUGAAAAAUAUUAUAUGGAUUCGUUUUCUUCAAACCAAAGGUGGCCUACACAAUGCAGAUAGACACGGUAUUGUCCCUCUGUGGAAAGGCCUUAGUGUAACAUUAGUUAAUUGAAUGCUCUUCAAAGCCAUAGCACACACAAGAUCUGCUCUAGAUGCUGUGGGGGACGGGGAGUGCAAAGGUAUGUAUGGGUGAGAUGUUUUACAGUUCUUGGAGACAUAAGCUAUACACGGAUAACUGUUAUAGAGUCUAAGCGUUAAAAAUUCCCCAAAGAGAAGCGAGAGUAGAGUGUUACCUCGGCGGGGGGGGCGGGGGGGUGGUGGGGGGAGACGAUUACUUCCAGCCUCCCAUGUCUGGAUUGGGCUGCGGAGGAUGCGCCUUUGAACUCAGUUUUAAAGGAUCCAUAGGAUUGCUUUAUGUGGAAAACAGAAGGAAAGAGCCAUGUUCCAGGCCCCGAGAUGCCUCCAGCAAAGGCAAAGGGCUGGCAAAAAGUGAAGGGCAAGCAGAACCUGUGAGCUUGGGCAGAGGAUGAAUUAUAAGUAAUUGGAGUAAAUGGAGGUGAGAUUUGGGGACGAAAGUCUGGAUGGAGCCAGAUUUUAGAAUGUUGAGUCAUAGGCAGUUGAAUUUAAUUUGAAAUACUUUAGUGCCAGGAGAUGUAAGAUCAACAUUUAUUUGGGAUUAUGAGCCUUGCCCCGGGGUGCCAAGGGCACCAUGGAGGCUUUAGUGGGGGUGUUUCUGUACAUAUGAGAAAGGUGAAGCGGACACGAAUCUAGCAGGAAAUGCCCCUCAGAAAUGAGUGGGGCUGAGCAGAGUGAUUCAAGGGUCUGAAUUCACAAUGACUUGAAAACAGAAUGAAUAUAAUAUUAGAAGGUGAGUCACAGAUGACUGGGUUUUUGACCUUGGGUAAUAGAAACGCAUCGGUGCUAUUCAUUCAAGUAGGAAUAUUUGGAAGAAUAUGUUUUAAAGGAAGGAAAGAUGGCACGUAAGGUUUUAUUUGUGCAUGUGUUGAAUUUGAGAACCUAAUUGCUGCUUCUUAUAUGCCUUUUUAAUAUUUGCAAUGCAGUGAAAAUCUAACCUGACCACAUCACAUAUUAAUAAGGAAAAUGUGUUCCUGCUCAUUCAUUUCACUAAAUAUUUGAGUUGUCUGCUAGGUUCUGUGUAUUCUGCAAGAUUCUGUUCUCUCUAUGUUAAUCAUAUGCAUAAUGUUGAACUAGAUAUUCCUGGAUGCUCAAUAUGGUGAAUUUUUCUCUUCUCCUUGUGAAAAUAGAACUCUCAAAUGAAUCUCACUUUUGGUAUCAAAUUCCUUAAUCCUUUGCUUUGCAAAAGAAUGCUUAGAUAACCUAUCUUUAAGAGAGAUGCUUAUCAAUUAUAGUAAAGAGAAAAGAGAUUAAUGGGGCCAACCAAGCCAGUGAGGCAUACAGAAUAAUAGAAAGACAUUUAUUCACCUCCUAACCCACCUCAAGCUAGGAAACCCUGUGCCAUCCUCAUAGGAACAUGGGAUUUGGAGUGAAGACGCGGGUUACAUUGCAACUCUGCCACUUCCUAGUGGUAUGUCCUGGAAUUGGUUAUUUAACUUCUGUGACUCUCCGUUUCUUCAUCUCUAAAAGGGGAAAAAAAGGUGGGAGAAAGGAUAGUACCUCAUGGAGUUACUGUGAAGAUUCAUUUGGAUAAAGCACAUAGAGCAUGCUACGCUGCUGGGCAUAGAGGUGGUCCAUAAUGAACGCUUCUUUUAUCUUUCCGUCUUGUAGAGACGGUGACCCUUGGAGAGGAAAUAAAUUAUACAAUGUAUAAAUGUUGGUGCUGUUAAUAAGGGGACUAGAGUGCAUUCAUAUAGUGCAUUGCUUUCUAAGACACAGGAAAACUGCACAUAUUUUUAUGUUCUGCAGGAGAUUGCAAAUCAAUGGAUUAUUAAAGGUUAAUAGGAAAUGUAAAGGUCAUGGAAUCCACACACGUUUGUGCAAGAAGGUUUGGGCUUAUGUUGAAAGGGAAAACUUGCCACAGGUUUCUGCGAUCUCGAUUUUUUACUUUUUAGGUGAUAUCAGGGGACCCUUCAUUGGAUCUGUCCAAUCUGUUAGAAAGAAAGGAGGCACACUUGUUGGCCAGGAUGGGUCCAGGACUUGGAGUCAUUGAAACCUCAUUAACUCGACAAACUUAAGCCAUAGUUGUGUUUGAAACAGGGGCUGUUCACCUAGUUCUCUGUUGCAGACCAGCCAUUAGCUCAGACCAAGACUUACCUACCACAGGACACUGUCUCCGAGGUGUAGGCAAAGACUGAAACUUGAAACCGAGGUCGAUUCGAAGCAUUUUCUAUGGUUUCUAUGGACGUCCUCUUAUGUAAUGAUUUAUUCAAGGUCGAAGUUAGAAAAUCAAACCUUUUCCCAAGGACUGCAACAAAAAUUUACAUUUAAAAAAAUGUGCAAAUAGCGCUUUCAUUGUAAUCGUCUUUCUCUGGCUCGUUGUUUCUGUCUCUUGUCAGAUGUUUUCGGUGUGAAAUUUUUGCUUGGACUGUGUUGUGUUGAUUCAGAUGCUGACAUUUAAAAAGCUAAAUCUAGAGAACGGAGCUUUUCGGUAAACCUCCGACUAAUAAGUGGGGUGACUAUGUCCAUAAUGUUGUUGUGACUUUUAAAUGCCAUUUAGGAUGGCAACCUUCUGACACAUGAGUAAUGAUGGGUGGGUUUCCUAAGCCUACACCUUUCAGAAUCCUCUUCAUUUUCUUUUCAUGUUUUCUAUGUCAUUAACUGUGAAAAGUUGUACUUUGUCAAGGCAUGAUUUAUUUAUUGACUUGAACAGACUUUCUAAUUUGGUUUUUUACCCUUCAUAUUCACAUUUUGGAUUGGAGAUGUGCAUGAAAAAUGUAUUGGUCACAUUAAAAAUCAAUUGAAAAGAAAAAAUUAUUCAUUAAGUCGCCUGGAACCGUUAACUUUUUUUGGGGGGGGAACUAUUUCUGGAUCAAAAAGAUCUUAGGAUCAUUGAAUUGCCCAAUGUUGUGAUGAUAUUGGCUGUACAUCAGAUCAUUUAGGGGUACCUUAUAAAAAUCCUGAUCCUCAAAGGACCCCCUCAAGGUAUUUUUGUUAAUAGGUCUGAGCUGGGUCCUAGGAAUCUGAGUUUGAAAGUGUCCUCUGGAGAAUCUUAUGCCCAACUAAGCUUGAAACUCAUUUAUUUAGUAUCUUUUAAAAUAUCUAGAUGGAGUAUGUGUUGCAAAGAAUUAGGGAAAUUGGUGUCUUUUUUUUUUUUUUCUCUUUAGGGCUGCACCCGCAACGUAUGGAAGUUCUAGGCUAGGGGUUGAAGCAGAGCUGCAGCUGCUGGUCCAUGCCACAGCCACAGCAACACCAGAUCCAAGCUGCAUCUGUAAAGUAAUGUACACCACAGUUCACAGCAACACUGGAUCCUUAACCCACUGAGUGAAGCCAGGGAUCAAACCCGCAUCCUCACUGGACACCACGUGGGGUUCUUAACCUGCUAAGCCACAGCAGGAACUCCUGGGAGUUGGUAUCUAGGUUUCUGACUUUGUCAUUUUUUUGCAGAUCUUUUAAGAGGUGGAAGAAUGAGGCUUUUAGAGUUAGAAUUCAGGGAUUUUAGUCACUUCAUCCUUGGGAUUUUUUAGUCAGAACCCUCCUUCUAUAAAUGGGAAAACUGAACCAUGGGGAUGUGUAUAACUUGCUGAAAGUUAGUUGGCAAUUUCCCAGUGAAGUCGCGGUCAUGUCCAGGUGACUUGACAGCCUCAGUUAGUGUCCUUUCUUCCAUCACGUCAUCCACUACAGACUACCAGCUCUCAGGGGCUGCAAGCUGUGGUCAAAUUAAAUAAAUGAAAAUACCAUGUGGAAGAUCUUUCAUUUUCAAGGUUAUUCUCAGUGGUUUGAUAGAACUUUUGAACAACGGUCAUGCUCAGGUCUCAUUCUACUUGCUAGUGCUCUUGUUUCUUGGGUUAAGGUUUUCUGAAAUGUUUCCUUUCUUUUAUAACUAGGCAUUCUUUUGAGUGAGAGGAGGUUGCUUUCUGAUUUUAUUUGGUUUUCGGAGUGGUAUUAAUAAUGUCUCUUGACAAAUUUCCAGUGGGACUGGAAAUUUGAUUUGGUAGAACUCUGGGAAAUUAAGUGGAAGGUGGAGGAAGAAAAUUGCAGCUUAACAUGAUCCAGGCUUGGGUCAGGACAUGGUUCAGUGUGAUGGAAGGGGCCAGCAGGGAGCCGAGAGCUCUGGCUUCCUUACUGCUUUGGUUUUCCUGAUGGGGAACUUCAUCCUUCUGGCCCCGUUGCUUGUUUCACCUUCCUUCUUUUUCUCUUUCUUUUCUUCCUUCCCAGCUAACACAUAUUUCUCACACAAGAGGGAUGUAUUUAGUGUCUAUGUAAGAUAGAAAGAAGCAUCAUAAAAUGAACAGUUUACCCACAGAGUAAACUCAGUAAAUACACUCAAUAAAUAAAGUAGUGUUUUGGCUUCAUUUGUAAAGUGAUGGGAUUGGACUAACUAGUGUGUGCAGAACCUUACUGCAAUGAUUUCAAAGUUAGGUUCUAUAAAUUUUUGAUCUUUCAAAAGUUGAAACACUUCCUUGAUGUCAAAACAAUGUGGUGAGGCUAUUUACAUAUUUAAGGGCUUUUUAAACUUUUCGGAAAUAUUUCAGACAGUCCUAGGUAACCGGAAGUGGAUUGAGAUUAAACCUAAUACAGUUAGGAAGCAGAAGAAAAAAAAAUUAGUUGUAGGAGUUCCCGUCGUGGCGCAGUGGUUAACGAAUCCGACUAGGAACCAUGAGGUUGCGGGUUCGAUCCCUGCCCUUGCUCAGUGGGUUGAUGAUCCAGCGUUGCCGUGAGCUGUGGUGUGGGUCGCAGACGUGGCUCGAAUCCUGCAUUGCUGUGGCUCUGGCGUAGGCCGGCAGCUACAGCUCCGAUUCAACCCCUAGCCUGGGAACCUCCAUAUGCCGUGGGAGCGGCCCAAGAAAUGGCAAAAAGACAAAAAAAAAAAAAAAAAAAAAAAUUAGUUGCAGUGAUUUAACAUUAAUCUGUAGCAGUAUCUUCUCCGUGGUGACCCGUGUCUUCCACUCACUAAUAACGUUUAAGACAUUUGUACCGUUAACAUUUUGCAGUGCUAAUUGUAUGUUAGGCAGAGAGCAGGAGCACUGUUUAAAUAGCCAAACUGGAUAUUGUCAUUAAUAUAUAGUGUCAGGGAUCAAUUAGGAGUUUUGAUGGAAGAAAAAAAAGCCAAAGUUCUUGUAGAUGAAAGAAGUUGUUAAAUAGCCUUGUCAUUGCUGCUAUUUUCUAGUUAUUCACUCCUUUUCUGCUGGAGCUUGGGUCUCACCUUUGUGUAACUCUGAACCUGCACGUCACUUGCCAUAAUGAUCUAGGACCCUUGAAGUGCUGGGCAGAAGUUGGUCGAGGCAUACUUGCAGAAAGUAAAUGGGAGUUCCCAUCGUGGCACAGUGGUUAACGAAUCUGACUAGGAACCAUGAGGUUUCGGGUUCGAUCCCUGGCUCUGCUCAGUGGGUUAAGGAUCCGGUGUUGCUGUGAGCUAGGUGUAGGUCACAGACGUGGCUCAGAUCUGCCAUUGCUGGGGCUGUGACGUAGGCCAGUAGCUACAGCUCUGAUUCAACCCCUAGCCUGGGAACCUCUAUAUGCUGCAGGAGCGGCCCAANAAAAAAAAAAAAAAAAAAAAAAAAAAAAA